AUUGAACGCUGGCGGCAUGCCUUACACAUGCAAGUCGAACGGCAGCACGGGAGCAAUCCUGGUGGCGAGUGGCGAACGGGUGAGUAAAGUAUCGGAACGUGCCCAGUCGUGGGGGAUAACGUAGCGAAAGUUACGCUAAUACCGCAUACGAUCUAUGGAUGAAAGCGGGGGAUCGCAAGACCUCGCGCGAUUGGAGCGGCCGGUAUCAGAUUAGGUAGUUGGUGGGGUAAAGGCUCACCAAGCCGACGAUCGGUAGCUGGUCUGAGAGGACGACCGGCCAAACAGGGACUGAGACACGGCCCAGACUCCUACGGGAGGCAGCAGUGGGGAAUUUUGGACAAUGGGCGAAAGCCUGAUCCAGCCGGGCCGCGUGAAGGAUGAAGGCCUUCGGGUUGUAAACUGCUUUUGUACGGAACGAAAAGGUUUGGCCUAAUAAGCUGAGCUCAUGACGGUACCGUAAGAAUAAGCACCGGCUAACUACGUGCCAGCCGCCGCGGUAA
rnacentral:rRNA from 1 species